UUCGCCCUUAGAGUUUGAUCCUGGCUCAGGACGAACGCUGGCGGCGCGCCUAACACAUGCAAGUCGAACGAGCGAGAGAGAGCUUGCUUUCUCGAGCGAGUGGCGAACGGGUGAGUAACGCGUGAGGAACCUGCCUCAAAGAGGGGGACAACAGUUGGAAACGACUGCUAAUACCGCAUAAGCCCACGGGUCGGCAUCGACCAGAGGGAAAAGGAGCAAUCCGCUUUGAGAUGGCCUCGCGUCCGAUUAGCUAGUUGGUGAGGUAAUGGCCCACCAAGGCGACGAUCGGUAGCCGGACUGAGAGGUUGAACGGCCACAUUGGGACUGAGACACGGCCCAGACUCCUACGGGAGGCAGCAGUGGGGAAUAUUGCACAAUGGGGGAAACCCUGAUGCAGCGACGCCGCGUGGAGGAAGAAGGUCUUCGGAUUGUAAACUCCUGUUGUUGGGGAAGAUAAUGACGGUACCCAACAAGGAAGUGACGGCUAACUACGUGCCAGCAGCCGCGGUAAAACGUAGGUCACAAGCGUUGUCCGGAAUUACUGGGUGUAAAGGGAGCUCAGGCGGGAAGACAAGUUGGAAGUGAAAUCUAUGGGCUCAACCCAUAAACUGCUUUCAAAACUGUUUUUCUUGAGUAGUGCAGAGGUAGGCGGAAUUCCCGGUGUAGCGGUGGAAUGCGUAGAUAUCGGGAGGAACACCAGUGGCGAAGGCGGCCUACUGGGCACCAACUGACGCUGAGGCUCGAAAGUGUGGGUAGCAAACAGGAUUAGAUACCCUGGUAGUCCACACCGUAAACGAUGAUUACUAGGUGUUGGAGGAUUGACCCCUUCAGUGCCGCAGUUAACACAAUAAGUAAUCCACCUGGGGAGUACGACCGCAAGGUUGAAACUCAAAGGAAUUGACGGGGGCCCGCACAAGCAGUGGAGUAUGUGGUUUAAUUCGAAGCAACGCGAAGAACCUUACCAGGUCUUGACAUCCGAUGCAUAGCUUAGAGAUAAGUGAAGUCCUUCGGGACAUCGAGACAGGUGGUGCAUGGUUGUCGUCAGCUCGUGUCGUGAGAUGUUGGGUUAAGUCCCGCAACGAGCGCAACCCUUAUUGCCAGUUACUACGCAAGAGGACUCUGGCGAGACUGCCGUUGACAAAACGGAGGAAGGUGGGGAUGACGUCAAAUCAUCAUGCCCUUUAUGACCUGGGCUACACACGUACUACAAUGGCGUUUAACAAAGAGAAGCAAGACCGCGAGGUGGAGCAAAACUCAAAAACAACGUCUCAGUUCAGAUUGCAGGCUGCAACUCGCCUGCAUGAAGUCGGAAUUGCUAGUAAUCGCGGAUCAGCAUGCCGCGGUGAAUACGUUCUCGGGCCUUGCACUCACCGCCCGUCA
rnacentral:rRNA from 1 species